ensembl:lncRNA
ACACACACACACACUCCGUCUCUCACACUCCGAGCUCAGACAAGGUUUUGACGCGUGGUGCUCUGAGCUUCUGGAAACCAGUUGUCUCCAGACAGACGGAGGAUCUCCGGGAACAGAUCUCCGUCUCAAACCUCCACAUUCGGUUCCACUCGGAGAAGAGGAGGUCUUGGGGCAAUUUUUGUUUCGUGCAUAUUUGGAAUAACGUCCGUCCGUGGAGCUCACUCACCGAGGAGGAGACAGCUCCACGCUCCGGCUCUUUCGUCCAUCUCUCGUUCCGCUGACCCCAGGCCAGUGGAGGUGCGUUCCGUAGGGUUCUGCUCGGCGGACGGCUCCCCGUGGCGCUCAGAGUCUGCAGCCCGCUGCGGACCUCUGGGGCUCACACAGACGCACACUUUUUCGUAACGUUCAGAUCGUUCUAAUUCGGGGUCGGAGGAAACAUUUGGAAACGGUGGAGGUGAAAGCUCUGCGCAUGUGGGAUUCCUGCAGUCGACUCGAGGAGGUUCAGAGGAGAAGGAUUUCAAAAAUGUUCCUCCCUGUCUGCAGGAGACCCGACGAUUCUUCGGCCAUUGUGCAUCUUCACUCAUCAUCUUCCUCUCCUGGAAGGGACCGGCUUUAACCUGGCCACUGGAACCAUAUUGGAACCAUAUUUCCCUUUAUCAAGACCAGUCAGUAAAGUGUUGUAGACUCUCUGAGAGGCUCCCGAGCCGCUCCGGCAGAAAAGGUGAACACCGGAGGGAACUCAGACGGACACCGUCGACUUCUCCAAAUUGUCACCGAAAGCACAGACGAUCCUGCCGAGACCAGCGCGUGCGGAGCGGCGAGUAGCGAGUCUGUCCAUUCCGCUCCCGUCCGCUGCCCCGAUGGCCCAAGGAAACUGAAACGGAUCCUCCUGGAAACGGAUCCCUCCUGUAAACGGAUCCCUCCUGGAAACAGAUCCUCCUGUGGAUUCCUCUGGACGAUUCUCGGCUGUCUCCGUCCAGCUGAGCCUGGACACACCUUGUUAAUGUCAAUCAAGGUUCCAAUCAGAAACCUGAACCUAGAAGCUUCCCACCAUCUGCUGGAGCUGUGUUUGGAACGAGAACCAUCCCUCAUCUUUGACCUCCUGUCCAUCCCUCAUCCCACAUCUGACCCACAACAGCCUGGUCCCAGUGACCCACAGCAGCCAGCCUGGUGCAUUUGCACCAAAUGCAAGGAGAUGCCUACCGAUAUAGAGUGGAAACGCUGCGGACAACUCCUGGACUCCUGUGUCUCCAUGAUGCCUCACAUUAACGCACACAUAAUGCAGGGUGGGGUUUUGCGGCUGGCCAGGAGGAUCGGGAAUGAUGUCCAUGCUGUGGCUGACCGUCCAGACCCAGGGGAGGACAACAAACAAUUUAGGUUUGCCGCCUAUAGGCAGUUUGUUGUUUGGCAAUACGGAGCACUGGCUCGGGGACACAGGGUCGUCAUUCCUAGUUGUUGGGUCUGGAGGAUACCGGACAAGUACCCAGACCCACUUGGACAAUAUGUUGGCUUCCUCACAAGGAGACUUUAAGCAUCAUUAAAAAAAAGUGUUUAAAAAAGACAUGUUCACUUUAUAUAUACACACACAAGUCAAUUUCCUGUUUUAAUCACCCAUCUUUUCAUUGUCGGUUACAGCAGACAUCAAAAUAACUAUAGCAUAUCAUAAUAACAAUGCACAUUCAGCAGGUGUAAUGUUGGAUAAAAGAUGAGGGCAGAUGCGGUAAAAAG